AUCUAUAUGUCAUACCAGUGUCUUCACACUAUUUGAUUAUAAGGACAACCAACACAUAUGACACACAAUGACCUACACUUGAUAUCGCUAUCAUCCUAGUAAUAGUGUAUCGUUUGAUUGUGAACCAAUUUAAGGACUAUACGAUAAAUCCUCCUUUAUUGAUCAAAUAGUCCUAAGGACUUCAUCACAACAUAGAAGUUUGUUAGAAGAUGUAAUCUUG
rnacentral:lncRNA from 1 species